GACAGAGGGUGCAAACGUUGUUCGGAAUUACUGGGCGUAAAGGGCGCGUAGGCGGGCGAUUAAGUCAGGGGUGAAAUCCCACAGCUCAACUGUGGAACUGCCUUUGAUACUGAUUGUCUUGAGUCCGGGAGAGGUGAGUGGAACUGCGAGUGUAGAGGUGAAAUUCGUAGAUAUUCGCAAGAACACCAGUGGCGAAGGCGGCUCACUGGCCCGGUACUGACGCUGAGGUGCGAAAGCGUGGGGAGCAAACAGG
rnacentral:rRNA from 1 species